CGCCUGUAUUCUAAAAGCUCACUCACACUCACAGAGUGGAGGUUCAAUCUGAGCUUGCGUUGAGUGUCAAUGCUGUUUUAAUAGCUGGAGGGUGAGUAUGACACUAGCUAUUCAAAAACAGCACUGACACUCAAGGGAAGCUCAGAUUGAACCUCCACUCUUUGAGUGUGAGCUUUUAGAAUACAUGUG